AGUGAACGCUGGCGGCGUGCUUAACACAUGCAAGUCGAACGAGAACGGAUUAUAGCUUGCUAGAUCUUAGUGGCGAACGGGUGAGUAAUACAUAAAUAAUCUGCCCAUAUGACUGGGAUAACUAUUGGAAACGAUAGCUAAUACCGGAUAGGUUGAUUGGAGGCAUCCCUGAUUAAUUAAAGUAGGCUUUCUACAUAAAUGGAUGAGUUUAUGGCGCAUUAGUUAGUUGGUGGGGUAACGGCCUACCAAGACGAUGAUGCGUAGCCGACCUGAGAGGGUGACCGGCCACACUGGGACUGAGACACGGCCCAGACUCCUACGGGAGGCAGCAGUAGGGAAUUUUCGGCAAUGGGCGCAAGCCUGACCGAGCAACGCCGCGUGAGUGAUUAAGGCCUUCGGGUUGUAAAGCUCUGUUGUAAGGGAAGAACAUUCAGGAUAGGAAAUGAUCUUGAACUGACGGUACCUUACCAGAAAGCCACGGCUAACUACGUGCCAGCCGCCGCAGUAA
rnacentral:rRNA from 1 species